rnacentral:rRNA from 1 species
CCUACGGGCGGCAGCAGUGGGGAAUAUUGCGCAAUGGGGGGAACCCUGACGCAGCAACGCCGCGUGAAGGAUGAAGGCCUUCGGGUUGUAAACUUCUUUGAUUGGGGAAGAAAUUUGACGGUACCCAAAGAACAAGCCACGGCUAACUACGUGCCAGCAGCCGCGGUAAUACGUAGGUGGCGAGCGUUGUCCGGAAUUACUGGGUGUAAAGGGCGUGUAGGCGGGGAUGCAAGUCAGAUGUGAAAUUCCGGGGCUCAACCCCGGCACUGCAUCUGAAACUGGUAUUCUUGAGGGCAGGAGAGGAAAGUGGAAUUCCUAGUGUAGCGGUGAAAUGCGUAGAUAUUAGGAGGAACACCAGCGGCGAAGGCGACUUUCUGGACUGCACCUGACGCUGAGGCGCGAAAGCGUGGGUAGCGAACGGGAUUAGAUACCCUUGUAGUCAC